rnacentral:rRNA from 1 species
CUACGGGGCGCUGCAGUGAGGAAUUUUGCGCAAUGGGGGAAACCCUGACGCAGCAACGCCGCGUGAGCGAAGAAGGCCCUCGGGUCGUAAAGCUCUGUCAAGUGGGAAAAAAAUUUUUUGAUCAAUAGUCAAAAGACUUGAUGGUACCACUGGAGGAAGCACCGGCUAACGCCGUGCCAGCAGCCGCGGUAAUACGGAGGGUGCGAGCGUUGUUCGGAUUUACUGGGCGUAAAGAGCGUGUAGGCGGUUUAGCAAGUCAGAUGUGAAAGCCCUGGGCUCAACCCGGGAAGUGCAUUUGAAACUGCUUCACUAGAGUAUGGGAGAGGAGAUUGGAAUUCCUGGUGUAGAGGUGAAAUUCGUAGAUAUCAGGAGGAACACCCGUGGCGAAGGCGAUUCUCUGGACCAAUACUGACGCUGAGACGCGAAAGCGUGGGGAGCAAACAGGAUUAGAUACCCUGGUAGUC